CAACCCACUCAGACUACAUCCAGGUCAUCAAAGCCCUGAUUGUGAAGUAUUCUUUAAGAGAUGUACACGGAAAUGGUUAUGACACCUGGCACAGCCAACUCAAGAGAAAGUUCAAAGCAGAACGGGCUCCCCUAAUCAGCAACGAAGAAGUGAACCGGGUUAAAGAAAAGUUUGGACGCACGCAGAAACAUCGGACCACAGAGGAAUCCAGCAGCUCCUGUCUGAAGAGACUGAAGCCCUCUCUCGAUUCGUGCUUUGUGGGGGAAGAUGCAGCCUCCGUUGAUGCUCAUAUCAAGGUGCUAAAUGAUCAGCACAAGAAGCUACAUCCUGACACAGCACUGGUGAAAGACCGCAUGACAAAAACCUUUGCAUGGAGACGUCGAGAGGUAGCUGAAGGAAUGUGUACUGUGGACCUAUUAAAGAGAUAUCCAUUCCUGGGGACAUCUGCAGGGUUGUGUUAUGAGGUUGAUUUAAUGCAUCCCUGCCAAGACAACAUCUGUCGCUGCUUUAGCGAAAACUUCACUGCUGUUCUUCAAAUGACCAAGGAUUUGCCACUGAAGAAGGUCUCGCUGGAUGAGGCCUACAUCUCAGCAUUCUCCACCUUCUUCAUGUUCAACAUGCAUACUUCAAGAAAACACUUGUCUUUCUUCAGAACUGCAUUGUCAACAUAGGAGACCAGGGAGACAAACCCCUGCCAGUAAGUGUCACCAGGGUACUUAACCAACUCUAUUAAAUAUGCCCCCACUCCACAAAUGUUCAAAAUGUUCAAAAAGGGCAUUUACUCUGAGGAAGUUGAUUAUACAUGUUGGGUUAGUACACGC
ensembl:lncRNA